rnacentral:tRNA from 1 species
GGAGAGGUCGCAUAGUGGCCUAGUGCGGUGGUUUGCUAAACCGCUAUGGGGGCAACUCCAUCGAGGGUUCGAAUCCCUCCCUCUCCGCCA